AGCGAACGUUAGCGGCAGGCCUAACACAUGCAAGUCGCGCGAGAAUGGGGCUUCGGCUCCUAGUAAAGCGGCGGACAGGUGAGUAACACGUGGAUAAUCUGCCCUUCGGCGGGGACGAACAGUCCGAAAGGAUUGCUAAUACCGCGUAAGUCGGCGAGGUCUUCGGAUCUUGUCGGGAAAGAUGGCCUCUUCAUGAAAGCUAUCACCGAAGGAUGAGUCCGCGUCCCAUCAGCUAGUUGGCGGUGUAAGAGACCACCAAGGCUAAGACGGGUAGGCUGGUCUGAGAGGAUGAUCAGCCACACUGGAACUGAGACACGGUCCAGACUCCUACGGGAGGCAGCAGUGGGAAUAUUGGGCAAGUGGGCGCAAGCCUGACCCAGCCAUGCCGCGUGAGUGAUGAAGGCCGUU
rnacentral:rRNA from 1 species